rnacentral:rRNA from 1 species
CGCUUUAUGUAGCAAUACAUGAAGAGUGGCGUAAGGGAGAGUAAUGCAUGGUUAGCUACCCUCGGGACUGGGAUAGCGGCGGGAAACUGCCGGUAAUACCAGAUGACAUCUUCGGAUCAAACGUGUAAAUCGGCCCGAGGAGGUGACCAUGUCCUAUCAGCUAGUUGGCGGUGUAAUAGACCACCAAGGCAAAGACGGGUAUGGGGCGUGAGAGCGUGCCCCCACUCACUGGGACUGAGACACUGCCCAGACACCUACGGGUGGCUGCAGUCGAGAAUCUUCGGCAAUGGGCGCAAGCCUGACCGAGCGACGCCGCGUGCGGGAUGAAGGCCUUCGGGUUGUAAACCGCUGUCGUAGGGGAGGAAGGUUUGGUGUAUAGCCAAGC